rnacentral:rRNA from 1 species
GUCGUCAGCUCGUGUCGUGAGAUGUUGGGUUAAGUCCCGUAACGAGCGCAACCCCUAUCCCUGGUUGCUAGCAGGUAAUGCUGAGAACUCCAGGGAGACUGCCGGUGACAAACCGGAGGAAGGUGGGGAUGACGUCAGGUCAUCAUGGCCCUUACGGCCAGGGCUACACACGUGCUACAAUGGUGCGUACAGAGGGCUGCAAGCUCGCGAGAGCAAGCCAAUCCCUUAAAACGCAUCGUAGUCCGGAUCGGAGUCUGCAACUCGACUCCGUGAAGUCGGAAUCGCUAGUAAUCGCGAAUCAGAAUGUCGCGGUGAAUACGUUCCCGGGA